rnacentral:rRNA from 1 species
UACGAAGGACCCAAGCGUUAUCCGGAUUUAUUGGGUUUAAAGGGUGCGUAGGCGGAUUAUUAAGUCAGUGGUGAAAGCCUACAGCUUAACUGUAGAAUUGCCAUUGAUACUGAUGAUCUUGAGUAUGAUUGAGGUGGGCGGAAUGUGUCAUGUAGCGGUGAAAUGCUUAGAUAUGACACAGAACACCGAUUGCGAAGGCAGCUCACUAAGUCAUAACUGACGCUGAUGCACGAAAGCGUGGGGAGCAAACAGG